rnacentral:rRNA from 1 species
UACGUAGGGUGCAAGCGUUGUCCGGAAUUAUUGGGCGUAAAGAGCUCGUAGGCGGUCUGUCGCGUCGGAUGUGAAAACCCAGGGCUCAACCCUGGGCCUGCAUUCGAUACGGGCAGACUAGAGUUCGGUAGGGGAGACUGGAAUUCCUGGUGUAGCGGUGAAAUGCUCAGAUAUCAGGAGGAACACCGGUGGCGAAGGCGGGUCUCUGGGCCGAAACUGACGCUGAGGAGCGAAAGCGUGGGGAGCAAACAGG